AGAACGAACGCUGGCGGCAUGCCUACCACAUGCAAGUCGAACGAGACCUUCGGGUCUAGUGGCGCACGGGUGCGUAACGCGUGGGAAUCUGCCCUUGGGUUCGGAAUAACAGUUGGAAACGACUGCUAAUACCGGAUGAUGACGUAAGUCCAAAGAUUUAUCGCCCAGGGAUGAGCCCGCGUAGGAUUAGCUAGUUGGUGAGGUAAAGGCUCACCAAGGCGACGAUCCUUAGCUGGUCUGAGAGGAUGAUCAGCCACACGUGGGACUGACGACACCGGCCCAGACCUCCGUACGGGAG
rnacentral:rRNA from 1 species